rnacentral:rRNA from 1 species
UGGGGAAUAUUGCGCAAUGGGGGCAACCCUGACGCAGCAACGCCGCGUGAUUGAAGAAGGCCUUCGGGUUGUAAAGAUCUUUAAUCAGGGACGAAAUUUGACGGUACCUGACUAAGAAGCCCCGGCUAACUACGUGCCAGCAGCCGCGGUAAUACGUAGGGGACAAGCGUUAUCCGGAUUUACUGGGUGUAAAGGGAGCGUAGACGGAGCAGCAAGUCUGAUGUGAAAGGCAGGGGCUCAACCCCUGGACUGCAUUGGAAACUGUUGAUCUUGAGUACCGGAGGGGUAAGCGGAAUUCCUAGUGUAGCGGUGAAAUGCGUAGAUAUUAGGAGGAACACCAGUGGCGAAGGCGGCUUACUGGACGGUAACUGACGUUGAGGCUCGAAAGCGUGGGGAGCAAACAGGAUUAGAUACC